CACGAACGCUGGCGGCAGGCUUAACACAUGCAAGUCGAGCGCCCCGCAAGGGGAGCGGCAGACGGGUGAGUAACGCGUGGGAAUCUACCCAUCUCUACGGAAUAACGCAUGGAAACGUGUGCUAAUACCGUAUACGUCCUUCGGGGGAAAGAUUUAUCGGAGAUGGAUGAGCCCGCGUUGGAUUAGCUAGUUGGUGGGGUAAAGGCCUACCAAGGCGACGAUCCAUAGCUGGUCUGAGAGGAUGAUCAGCCACACUGGGACUGAGACACGGCCCAGACUCCUACGGGAGGCAGCAGUGGGGAAUAUUGGACAAUGGGCGCAAGCCUGAUCCAGCCAUGCCGCGUGAGUGAUGAAGGCCCUAGGGUUGUAAAGCUCUUUCACCGGUGAAGAUAAUGAUGGUAACCGGAGAAGAAGCCCCGGCUAACUUCGUGCCAGCCGCCGCCGUAAGAC
rnacentral:rRNA from 1 species